rnacentral:rRNA from 1 species
AAUCUUCCGCAAUGGACGCAAGUCUGACGGAGCAACGCCGCGUGAGUGAUGAAGGUUUNCGGAUCNUNAAACUCUGUUGUUAGGGNCGAACAAGUACCGUUCGAAUAGGUCGGUACCUUGACGGUACCUAACCAGAAAGCCACGGCUAACUACGUGCCAGCAGCCGCGGUAAUACGUAGGUGGCAAGCGUUAUCCGGAAUUAUUGGGCGUAAAGCGCGCGCAGGCGGUUUCUUAAGUCUGAUGUGAAAGCCCACGGCUCAACCGUGGAGGGUCAUUGGAAACUGGGGAACUUGAGUGCAGAAGAGGAGAGUGGAAUUCCAUGUGUAGCGGUGAAAUGCGUAGAGAUAUGGAGGAACACCAGUGGCGAAGGCGACUCUCUGGACUGCAACUGACGCUGAGGCACGAAAGCGUGGGUAGCGAACA